GUGCCAUAAUAGGAGCCGGGGCCUGGCUUUGCUAUUGUGUCUGCUGCUGUAUGUUGUUGUUUGGAUCCAGAGCCCACAGCUGAUGGAUAGUGAGUGAAUGAGUUUGAAUACUCCAAGUCAGGAGGGAAACACAGCAUUGGAUUCAUUUCUUCCCUUAGUAAAGCUCUUAAGCAUCUGUGAAAAGAACGAGGCACACCAAAAUAACCUGACCAGAAACAGACCCAUAGAGGGGGACAGGAAGUGAGUUCAGAGCUUAUCAAGAGACCGUCAGCAGCUGCUGUCUCAAUCCAUCUCUCAACAAAACCUUCACAUAAGACUACUCCAACACAAUGGAAGGCACCAGAACUUCUCUCGGGCUGUUUGUACUGCUUAGCCAGCUGCUGCUCUGCCCUACUGAUGCAAACCCAGACCAUUCAACCAUGAAGCCAAAUUUCAACACAACAAAAAAUCAAGGAGACAACUUGACAAACGCUAUUGGCCACACAAACCAACUUGAAAUCGACAUGAAUGGCACCCGUGCCGACUGCCUGAUCGACACAGAGAUGGGUCUGAUUGCUAUAGGUUCGGCAGGGGGGCUGAUUGUGUGGCUGCUAGUUGCCGUUGUGGUAUUGGCAUGCCAGGUCUACAUCCUUCAGCACAGACAAUAUGGCCCCAGACACUCCCGGUCCAACAUGGACUUGAGAGGUGCGGGUUACUGGGCUGGUGUCCAGUCAGAGGACCGAGGGCAUGUUGGGCCUUGUGAUUCCAGUGUCAUGCUCGAGGAGAUCAAAGAAGAGGGCAAGAUGGAGGAAGAGAGCCAGCCAAUCGAAGAGGCUGGGGCAGAACAAGUGGCUUUACUUCCUCAAGAGAAUACCAGUCAGACGCAGAGCACCAGCUCCAGACACUGCAGUCUGGAGAUUCCAAGGGACCUAGAGGACAUGCCCCUUGUUGUGUGAGGAGCUACCCACCUUGGUAAUCCCUCAGGUCCACACUUCACUUAGACAAAUAGCAACCAGUCAGUUCAGUUUAUUUUUCAAGUUGAUUUGCCUCACAUAACUUUACUCAAACCUCAGUAAAAUGCAAGGCUUAUAAUACCAGAUUUAUGGAACAGAUUUACUGAAAAGGAGAGUUUUAAAAAAAAACCUAAUUUUAGAAAAGUAAAAUGAUUUAAAAAGAAAAACACAAGUCAAAGUUCCUCUAUAUUUAGAUUAAGUAGUAUAAAGGCUAAUUCUGGAGUCAUUAUACUUUUAUUAUCUUCAUCUAGACCAAUAUGAUUACAAUCUUGUACAACAUACCACACCCUAUGUCCUUAGACCCUCAAUUCCAAUAAGGAAAAUCUUGUUUUUAAGAAGAAUAGUGCUGCUGACUCUACAACUCCACUGUACUUCCUGGCCAAGCCUUUGAUCAAGAGUGACGCAGCAAGGAAGCGCUCUUUUCUUAUAGCGUAAGGUGUACUCUAUUAAGGAUUAUUAGUUUUGUAUAACUUUUAAAUAUCUAACCUGAAAAGCUUCUAAUUUCUAAGCUUAGCAACUUCAACAUUUCAACAAAACUGUUUGAUUUGGCUCUGUGUUCUGGAUUUAUGAUAUUAAAUGUGUGGACACAAUACAUUUAGGAAACAGACAAAUGUAAACCAAGAACCAAUAAAUCAACCCCAUUUAAAAGUGUCAAAGAGAUCCUAUCUCUAGAUUUGACGAGGUCAAAUGAUGGCCAGAAAUGUGGGAAUAAUAUAUGUUAGUGGUCAUGGUUGUUUUCACAAAUCUUUGUUGAACUUUCCUCGGUCUGUUAAGCUGUUCAUGCUCUUUUACCUGUACUGCAGAGCUUCUAAUACGAGUGUUCUUAUGUUAGUUAUUCAUAAGAAACAGAGCUUGUUAAAUUUCAGGUUUUCAAUAAAUUGUUGUUUUGCAAUCCACAAUGUCUUAAGUUUCAAAUCAAUAUUCAUUUUAUGUGGAUUUAUAAAUAAACCUUGAAGGGGUGAUUGUUAGA